UGAUAAGGAUGAAAGGCGUUUGUUAAUGGUAUCGGGUGUUGCUUUAGUAAUGGCUAGUCCGUCGUCGCGAUAGAGUCCUAUGUUAGUAAUGAUGUGUUGCAGUUGUGAGAGUAGAUAGCUUCCUACGAGUUCGCAUGUUUCGGCGCCGUCGAAGCUGCCCAUUGUCACGUCGAAUGUGGAGUUGUA